GGACGAACGCUGGCGGUGUGCCUCAUACAUGCAAGUCGAACGAUAAGGUCUCUUCGGAGAUACAUAAGUGGCGGACGGGUGAGUACAACAUAGGAAAUCUGCCCUAAAGCGGGGGACAACAGAGGGAAACUUCUGCUAAUACCCCAUAUGAGCUUAGUUGAAAUACUAAUCUUGAAAGAUUUAUCACUUUAGGAUGAGCCUGUGCCUGAUUAGCUGGUUGGUGGUGUAAUGGACUACCAAGGCGACGAUCAGUAGCUGGUUUGAGAGGAUGAUCAGCCACAAUGGGACUGAGACACGGCCCAUACUCCUACGGGAGGCAGCAGUAGGGAAUUUUGCGCAAUGGGCGAAAGCCUGACGCCAGCAACACCGCGUGAAUGUUAAGCCCUUCGGGGUGUAAAGUUCUGUCAGUAGGGAAGAACAAAUGACUGUACCUGCAAAGGAAGCACCGGCUAACUCCGUGCCAGCAGCUGC
rnacentral:rRNA from 1 species